UGCACAAUUGGUAGAGCAUCUGAUUCUUAAUCAGAAGAUUGAGGGUUCGAGUCCCUCC
rnacentral:tRNA from 1 species